GCUUGCUUAAGAAUCUAUUUAUUGGAAGCAUCGACCAAAGGUUUUUUUGGAUGAAGUAGGGGGAUGCUAAUUCAAAAUACUUUCAUGCGCAAGUGUCAUAGGAUUAAUUAUGUGCAUAGUCUUGUGGAUGAGGGGGAUAGGUUGUUCACCAGUACUAUGAGAUGUGCAACAUUGUUUUAAGGUAUUUUUAAAGCCUUUUCUCUAGUUAUUUGUUUCUAAUUUUCUUACUUUAUGUGAUUUACCUACUUUUGUGAACCAUAGUCAAAAUGAGUCUCUUCUAGCUUCAUUUUGAGAUGAUAAGUACUAUGAUGCAAUAAUGAGGAUGCAUCAUGAUAAAACUCGUAGGCCGGAUGGUAUGAACCCAACUUUCUUUCAGAAAUGUUGGUCAAUUUUUGGGAAGGGAUAUGUUUGAUAAAUGUGUUUCUUGGCUUAAUCGUUGUUCUUUCCGGCUUCGUUAAGUAAUACUACGGUGGUGCUUAUUCUGAAGAAGGAUAAUCUUGAUUGCUUGAAAGAUUUGUGCUCUAUUGCAUUAUGUAAUGUUAUUUACAAUAUUUUGGCCAAGGUGCUUGCCAAUAGGCUUAAACAUAUCUUGUCUUGUAUCAUAUCACCAAUGCAACCUGCUUUUGUUGGAUCUAGUACCCUUAGUAUAAUAUUUUCGUUUAUGUGCACUUGUAUUUUUUCGAACAGAAUAGUUUAAUAAAAUUAUUCAUAAAUUAAAUUAAUAACCUUUGUAUAUUGUCCUCAAUGGUUUUUACAUGCAAAGCAAAAUGUAAGCAAAUAUUAGCUCACAAAUUAUCUAAUGUUUAACUAAUACUAAGUGGUAUUACGUGGGUGGAUCAUAAUAUAGAAAGAAAGCUUAUAUUAGUAGACGAACCUGAACAUAUCCUUAGUCUAAUCGGAAAUGAGUAAAUCGAUUAAAAGACUAAUAUGUCGUCUAUCAAUUCCGAUUGGGGAGAUACUUUAUCUCGAGCAUCAGAGCGGAUGACUUAUAGAAGAUAAAGACAUAUAUAUGACUAACUAGACUAACAAUGUAUCGGACAUAACUCAAGUAGAAUAAAUCUUGAAUCUGUUUAUGGAUUUAUUCACUUGUGAGGUUCAUAGUGUGUAAUACCUCAAUAUUUAAUGGAUGAUGAAUUAUAUAUGCGUGAGUCGUAUACUUUGAUGUAAGUAAAAACCUAAGUCAAAUAGAUAAGAAACCAAAAAUUGGUACAUUGGGUAUACGACUUCUGCGAUAUGUAGUAUAAUUCACAAUAGUGGAAUUCAUAACCCAAGACAUGGUUAAAUGUUAUCCUCUCAUUGGCAUUAUACGAUAGAUGAAAAGUAAACGUGUCCACAAGUCGUUUGUCUUUAUGACAAAUGACUUAAUUACAAUUUGAUAGUAAUUGACUUUUCAUGAAGGAAGACGUAAUGGUUACCAUGAUAUAAAAUAUGAUCAUAUUGGGAGGACAAAUUUAUCCCAAAGAAAUUAUUAAUAUCUUAUAAGGGUAACACACUUAUGAUAAGGUCAUUAGAUGAGCACUGAUCGGAUAGCUUUUGUAAUGGUAUAUAAUUGGGAAGAGCUCAGUCAUGAUACUCUAGUGUAAUGACUUUGUGACUAAGGCUCUGUUUGAUUGGCAGAAUUGAUUUUCCGAAAAAUUAUUUCCGCCUUUUCCAGUGUUUGAUUGGCGGAAAACAUUUUCCAUUUGGAAAAUGAAAUCCAAAGCACGGGAAAUUGGCUUACAAUUUAGGGAAAAUGUCUUACGCUUCCAAUUUCCGUAAGACAUUUUCCGAAAACUCCUCUCUAUCCCCUCCUACAUUCCUUCCUUCAUCUCUGGUAGAAAAGACUGCUUCUUGUCUAUCGAUUUUCCAGUAACCCCCCAAGAAGUCCUUCAUUCCUUCUUUUCCUCGGUUCCCUAUUCAAUUAUUGCAGUUUUCUUUCAUUUCCUCGGUUCCCUCUUCUCCGUAUCUGUCCAGAUUAUCGAUCCAAACGUGCUCAAUUUCCAACCACCAUUUACUUUUUCUAUCUCCACUCCAAUUUCCGUCAGAUCUGUGGGAAAUUUCAAGUAACCUUUAUUAUAGACAUAAUUUGAUUUUUUAUGGUUUUCCAUUUGGUCGAAAAAGACUUGCUGGGUUUGUAUUUUCUGUCCCGAUAUUUCUAUAAUUUUUUUUCACUUUCACUCCAUUUGUUUGAUGUUGAAGUUGCAAUAUGAUUUUCUUUUAUCCUGGUAUGAUGCACAGCACAAAGGGUUUUAGGUUUUUUUGCACGAAAAUUGGGUAAUGCAAGGUGUUGAUUUCAUAUCUUGCUAUUGUCAAGCUUGCUGGACCUACCUGAACUGUAUAUUGAUUUGCAUUGUUGUAUGGCAAAACUGUAUAUUAGGUAGUUCUUUCAAUUCGAGUGUUGAGAAGUCUCAUCGAUUUUGUUUUUGGAAUGUGUUUUUCUUGACAAUAUAUACUGGUUUGCACGAUUAGCUCGUUUGGAAGGUAUAUUAUGGUGACUUUAACUUCUUUCUUUUUAAUUUUGAUGAUGAUAAUCUGUUUUAGAAGUAAAAGAAUUUGAGGUUCUACAUGUGAGAGCACUGUUCUAGAGAAGCCUAGUGCAUUAGAAGUUUCAUCAUUGAAAAUUCUUUGGUACACAUUUGGAGAUCCACUUUGCUUUUGACUGCAUCAUACAAGGCAGUCUUUUCCAUCCCAUGAACUUCAAAUCUUUUUAGUUGAAGUCCGAAGUUCUAACACUUUCCCUGACUAAUGGGGGGUUUUACUGGUACUAGACUUCACUAGAUUUUUUAGGUAGUUGUCUAAUAUAAUGUCCUCUCUCAACCACCUUUCUGUGACCUCCUUGAACACUCUGAUCAUGGUAGUGCAAGUGCUGUCUAUAUCAUGCCUAUUGAUACCUAUGUAUCAUGAAAAUUGAAAAGCAAUGACUUGUCCUUAUUGCAGUGAUAGAGGAAGAAAAAGGUUCAUUGUAUUUUGUUAUCUUUGGAGAGCUUUUAUUACCUCUCUUGUAUCACUCAUCCAAAUGCAUGAAUGGUCAAUAAUUACAUGCUUUCUAUUUUUUUAUUGUAGCGAGCUUCAUGCUGUCAUAUUAUUUCUUGCUUGGCAAAAACCAAAAGAAAAAACACUGAAAACUGAUUCAGACCGUAGUGUUUGGUUCAGUUAUAUUUAUUUGGUUCGGUUCAUUCACAGUCUCUUCUGUUUGAAGCAUGAUUCACACCAUAUAAUACAAGUAUUGAUAUAUUGUAAUUUCAAUUCGUUAAAUUAAACCAUUAAUGAUUUGUGUUUGAUUUUUUAUUGCUCCUAAUGGUUCUAAUUUCUUUCUAUGCUUGACCUCCAGCUGUAUAGUUCUUGCUGUCCUAGCCUCUACCUCAGCAUUCUUACUCCUAUUGGUGGCCUUGGUUGAUAUUUUCAUAAGAGGUUGGUCCAAGGUUUUAUCUUUGGAAUGUCUUCUUUCUUGAUUCUGGUCUGUCAAUGGCAUGGCAUUUGUGGUUGUUAUAUGUUUGUGGUGUGCUUGAUUUAUGAUUUGGUAUAAUAUGGAUUUUUGGUAUAAUUUGUUUACGUAUUAUUUGGGAAAUGGUAGUGAUGAG
rnacentral:lncRNA from 1 species